UGGGGAAUAUUGCACAAUGGGCGAAAGCCUGAUGCAGCAACGCCGCGUGAGUGAUGAAGGCCUUCGGGUUGUAAAAGCUCUGUCUUUUGGGACGAUAAUGACGGUACCAAAGGAGGAAGCCACGGCUAACUACGUGCCAGCAGCCGCGGUAAUACGUAGGUGGCAAGCGUUGUCCGGAUUUACUGGGCGUAAAGGAUGCGUAGGCGGAUUUUUAAGUGAGAUGUGAAAACCCUAAGCUUAACUUGGGGACUGCAUUUCAUACUGGAAAUCUAGAGUGCGGGAGAGGAGAAUGGAAUUCCUAGUGUAGCGGUGAAAUGCGUAGAGAUUAGGAAGAACACCAGUGGCGAAGGCGAUUCUCUGGACCGUAACUGACGCUGAGGCAUGAAAGCGUGGGUAGCAAACAGGAUUAGAUACCCUGGUAGUCCACGCCGUAAACGAUGAGUACUAGGUGUAGGAGGUAUCGACCCCUUCUGUGCCGCAGUUAACACAAUAAGUACUCCGCCUGGGAAGUACGAUCGCAAGAUUAAAACUCAAAGGAAUUGACGGGGUCAUAGCGUUUCCUG
rnacentral:rRNA from 1 species